rnacentral:rRNA from 1 species
GACGUAGGGUGCAAGCGUUGUCCGGAUUUACUGGGCGUAAAGAGCGUGUAGGCGGUUCGGUAGGUCCGUUGUGAAAACUCGAGGCUCAACCUCGAGACGCCGAUGGAAACCCUCGAACUAGAGUCCGGAAGAGGAGAGUGGAAUUCCUGGUGUAGCGGUGAAAUGACGCAGAUAUCAGGAAGAACACCCGUGGCUAAGGCGGCUCUCUAGUACGGUACUGACGCUGAGACGCGAAAGCGUGGGGGAGCGAAACAGG